rnacentral:rRNA from 1 species
UACGUAGGGUCCGAGCGUUGUCCGGAAUUACUGGGCGUAAAGCGCGCGUAGGCGGCUUUGUAAGUUAGAGGUGAAAGCCCGGAGCUCAACUCCGGAACUGCCUUUAAAACUGCAUCGCUUGAAUCCAGGAGAGGUGAGUGGAAUUCCGAGUGUAGAGGUGAAAUUCGUAGAUAUUCGGAAGAACACCAGUGGCGAAGGCGGCUCACUGGACUGGUAUUGACGCUGAGGUGCGAAAGCGUGGGGAGCAAACAGG